CAAUAGCGUAUAUUAAAGUUGUUGCGGUAAAAAAGCUCGUAGUUGGAUUUCUACCGAAGAUAGCCGGUCGGGUCUUCGACCUUGUAUCUGGUUUUGUCUUUGGUAUCCUCAUAGGGAACGUUUCUGCGCUUUAUUGCGUGGUGCGGUAUCUAUGACCUUUACUUUGAGGAAAUUAGAGUGUUCACGGCAGGCAAACGCCUUGAAUAUAUUAGCAUGGAAUAAUAACAUAGGAUCUUCGUCCUAUUUUGUUGGUUUCUAGGGCUAAGAUAAUGAUUAAUAGGGAUAAUUGGGGGCAUCUGUAUCAACGCGUCAGAGGUGGAAUUCUUGGAUUGCGUUGCGACAAACUACUGCGAAAGCAUUUGCCAAGGAUGUUUUCAUUGA
rnacentral:rRNA from 1 species